CACUCUGGAAGUGAUGUAAUUUUAUGCUCUGUUUUAUUUAUCAAUAUUCUUCUGUCGUAUAUCAGUGAAGCGUGUUAUAGUCUAAUGUUUUCUAACAUGACAGGAAUAUUACCCCCUCUCUUUAAAGGUGUUGCAACUUGCAAGAAUUGGAGGGAAAGAUGUAAGGGAUUGUGUCCACAAAAUUCUUGACAGGCUCUUUACCAACCGGUUGAUGGCAAAAUUCAACAUGAAGGGGAAGGGGAAGCAGCAGAAACUGCCUCUGGAGACGACUAAAACUUAUGAAGCAAUUAAUGCUGCAGUCAUGAAAUGGGACAGAGACACCACAGAGGCUACAAUAAAGUUUCAUGCAGCUGAACAUCUCAAGCAUGCACCGGG